CAGCACACAGGGUUCAUUUCCAGACUGAAAGACAUCCCAGAGACAACUCCAGAGGCCAAGGCGGGUCGGCUUCCUGCGUGGGCCCAGCGCCGGGCACUGAAAGGUGAAGGCGCUUCUUCCGCUCGGAGGAAAGCCUCUGGCGGUUCUCGCUUCGCGGGCUCGGGAUGGACACGCGCGUAGGGCUGGGGAGGUGACGCGCGGACAACGCCGGGGCGAGCAAACUACAACUCCCAGGCAGCUGUGCGCCACGCGGGCGGCCUACUGUCGGGUGUGGCCGCGAGGGGCGGCCUAUAUAAGCUCUUGCUCGCGGCUUCAGCGCCCUUUCUCCCCGCCGCAUUCCCGGUGUCGACUUACUAGCUGCAAGCCUCUGCCUGCCUUCCUGCGCGCCGUUCCCCGCUAGUCGCUGCUGCUGGCGCGCACUCGCCGGGUUUUUCCUCCCACGGCCUCGAGAUGGUGGUGAAUGUGGCACGGAGGAGCCGGGCCUUCCAACCCGGUGGGCCCGAGCUCCGAAAGGCCCCCUCGGCAGUGAGAGGGGCGGGAGCCCGCGGGGGCCGCGCCCUUCUCUCGCUUCGGACUGCGCAACGCUGCGCUCUGGGCUGACAGGCGGAUAAAACGGUCCCAUCAAGACUGAGAAAAAGCACACCAGCUAUUGGCACAGCGUGGGCAGUGGGGCCUACAGGAUGACUGACUUAGUCUACAGAGAUCCCGGCGUACUUAAGCAGAUGAAGACUCUUAAGAUGACAGAAGGUGAUUUUUCUGGUGAUCGAGGACUUCCGGGGUAAUGACAGUGAUGAAAUGCAGGGGACCUGGUAGGUUUCUUUUGGAGACUAACUGGGGGCUGCCUGGUGGGACAGAACAGCAUGUUUCCAAGGGCUGUGGCUGGUCAUAGCCAUGGGAUCUCCAACUGCAUGCAAGAGCAACCUGGAAAGACUUUGACAGCGCAGCGCUAAGCUUUUUGUUCUGCAGGUUGCCCCCAAGUUUCCUGGCAGUGUGUGAUACUGAGGAGGUGAGCUUGUUUCUGGAGCUGUGCUUUAAGGUAAAGUUGAUCAGCUUAAUCCUCCUGAUCCCUUUCCCAUCGGAUCUGAACACUGGUCUUGGUGGUCGUAAAAGGAGGAAAAGUAAUAGUGAAGCUGGCCUAAAUGUUGUAAUCUGGUAUAUGGCAUGUGGGCUAGUUUCAGACAGGUUUCAGAGAUGGUUGGAUCUCUGAAAUUGUAAAAUGAAGUAUAAUCUUAGGCUAAGGGAAGGAUGCGUGUGAAGCUCUGGAGGUUGGUAUAGUAAUAGCUGACCUAUUACUGCAUUUGGGAGGGAUCUGUCAUAGCUUCCUUGCCUCUUAAUUAAGGGUGGUGUUUUUUUCUUUUAGAUUCAUGUUACAUGUAAAGCUGUCCUCAUUUGUGACUAUGGACCUAUGGAGUUGGGACAAUCUCUAUGGGAAGCAGAAGGCAAGGACCCCGGUCAUUUUAGGUAGAAACAACAGCAUGCUAAUGCAAAAAAUUAUGCAGUGUGCUACUGAACUUCAGAGGUGAUCAAUAAAAGAAGAAUAAAAAGACUAAUAAAAGUAUAUUUGUGUUUGUAUUUUUUUGUAGAGACCGAACUGGUCUCUU
rnacentral:lncRNA from 1 species